rnacentral:rRNA from 1 species
GCCUAGCGGCGAACGGUCGCGUAACACGUAAGCAACCUGCCCCAAAGUGGGGGAUAGCCCACCGAAAGGUGGAUUAAUACCGCAUGUGGACACAAUUUCGCAUGUAGAUGUGUCUAAAGCAGCGAUGCGCUUUGGGAUGGGCUUGCGGCCUAUCAGCUAGUUGGUGAGGUAAUGGCUUACCGAGGCGACGACGGGUAGCCGGCCUGAGAGGGUGACCGGCCACACUGGGACUGAGACACGGCCCAGACUCCUACGGGAGGCAGCAGUGGGGAAUAUUGCACAAUGGGCGAAAGCCUGAUGCAGCGACGCCGCGUGAGGGAUGACGGCCUUCGGGUUGUAAACCUCUUUCAGGAGGGACGAAGCCACCAGGGUUAAUAGCCUAUGGGGUGACGGUACCUUCAGAAGAAGCCCCGGCUAACUACGUGCCAGCAGCCGCGGUAAUACGUAGGGGGCAAGCGUUGUCCGGAAUUAUUGGGCGUAAAGCGCGUGUAGGCGGCUUGGUAAGUCUGGCGUGAAAUCUUGGGGCUCAACCCCAAGCCUGCG